CAGAUGAUACACCUGUUCCCAUGCCGAACACAGAAGUUAAGCUCUGUAGCGCUGAAAGUAGUUGGGGGAUCGCUCCCUGCGAGGAUAAGACGUCGCCA
rnacentral:rRNA from 1 species